AGUUUAAAUGAGUUAAUAAAGAGAGAACGAGCCUCCAUGUGGACAUCCCAGACAUCACCAAACCACUGAUUAAUUUGAGGGAAAGGGGCAUCAUCUUUGUGGGAACCAGAAAUCCUCCUACACAGGUUGAGUAAAUGAAAUUGGACAGUGUCUAGGCCUAGGAACUCAUUGAAAGCGGCUAAAUGAUUUCAUAAUAGUUCCUCUGCAAACUUGAGUCACAA
rnacentral:lncRNA from 13 species